rnacentral:rRNA from 1 species
GACGAACGCUGGCGGCGUGCUUAACACAUGCAAGUCGAACGGAAAGGCCCUUCGGGGUACUCGAGUGGCGAACGGGUGAGUAACACGUGGGUGAUCUGCCCCGCACUCNGGGAUAAGCCUGGGAAACUGGGUCUAAUACCGGAUAGGACCACACACUNCAUGGUGNGUGGUGCAAAGCUUUUGCGGUGUGGGAUGNGCCCGCGGCCUAUCAGCUUGUUGGUGNGGUNANGGCCCACCAAGGCGACGACGGGUAGCCGGCCUGAGAGGGUGACCGGCCACACUGGGACUGAGAUACGGCCCAGACUCCUACGGGAGGCAGCAGUGGGGAAUAUUGCACAAUGGGCGCAAGCCUGAUGCAGCGACGCCGCGUGAGGGANGACGGCCUUCGGGUUGUAAACCUCUUUCAGNANNGACGAAGCGNAAGUGACGGUACNUNCAGAAGAAGGACCGGCCAACUACGUG